rnacentral:rRNA from 1 species
CAGUCGCCGCGGGAAAACGUAAGUGGCAAGCGUUGUCCGGAAUUAUUGGGCGUAAAGGGCUCGCAGGCGGUUUCUUAAGUCUGAUGUGAAAGCCCCCGGCUCAACCGGGGAGGGUCAUUGGAAACUGGUUGACUUGAGUGCAGAAGAGGAGAGUGGAAUUCCAUGUGUAGCGGUGAAAUGCGUAGAUAUAUGGAAGAACACCAGUGGCGAAGGCGACUCUCUGGUCUGUAACUGACGCUGAGGCUCGAAAGCGUGGGUAGCAAACAGGAUUAGAUACCCGCGUAGUCCCUGUCUCUUAUAC